GCCCCGCCCCUCCGAGACACAGGCUCCCCCCGCCCCGCGAGACGCCCCCGCGGCCACUGCCGAGCGGGCGCGGGAAGCAUUAGAGGCGGGCGGGGCAGAGCGUCGCCAGAGCGGUUCCAUGGUGUAAUGUGUUGUACAUCCUCUGCCUGAGCCGCGGCCAGACACGCUCCUUCCUCCCCUCCCUACGUGCUGCUCCAGGGUCACAGCGCCGCGCUUAACAAUAACCCCUCUGCUUUGUCUUGAUUUUAGCCCGCCAGUCCUUUGCCCUGCUGGGGAGUGGCUGCCAUCGUCCUGUCUCCACGGGCCGAGGACGGUGCUGCGGAGGAGAGAACCCCAGGGCUGCCUCCAGCCGUCCCGAGAUGUUCCCGCUGGGAGGGAAAGGCGAGAUCAGCGUCCGGCCCUGAGGGAGGCCGCGAGGCCACCCCGAGGUCGGGGACAGGCCGCCCGGGCCAGGGGCUGCUGGACGCCGGGUUUCUUCCAGAAACGAGCCGGCUUGGAGACCAACCGGCCGCGCUGCCAUCGUCCUCCGGGUCCACUCGCAGAGGCCUCGCCUGGUCCUGCGCACGCCGGAGGCCUGAAUAGCUCAGGAUAAAAAUGGCCCUCGUGUCCAGAUGGAGCCCUGAAAACUCAUCCGUCCCGCACCCGCUUGCCGUCAGCAGGAGCAGUAAAUUAGCCGUCGCUGUAAUUGGUGGCAGCGCUACCGUUUCCACACAUUGCUCCCCAUCGACGGGAAGGAUAGCGGCCCAUCGCGUGGGCCUUGCGGUUCGAAAACGCUUCACGCAGCUCCAGCAAUGUGGGAAGGAGGCAAAACGCCGGGGUAACAAAGACGCCCGGUGUGAAACCGGAGCCCAGGUCACCCCGUGAGGGUCUGCGCUGCUGCCGGCGGCUGUGCGGGGCUGCCGAAGCGAGGCGGGAGCCCGGGGCUGCGGUGCCGUUCCUUCCUCGGGCGCACGGCCAUGUCCGGCGUCUCCCAGGCGUUCGCACACAAAACCUUGGCGGUUAGGGCUUCGCGUCUCCGCGUUCCAGCUCUGCAUGCAGCACGGCGAUAACUGCAUUUACCGGCAUUGCAACGCCAAACCCCGCACAAGCAGACGGCACUCGGGUAGCAAAAGUCCGUAGGAGGAUGUGUGAUCUCUGCAUUCAACCUUUUUAUCUACAGAUGAACGACAAAAGGAGUCUGACAACGCUGGGCCGCUCCAGCUAUUCCGUUCUCUGAAGUUACCUCAGUGCAGCGAGUGGUGGAUUAAAAUUAAUAAUGGCUUCUUGUGUGUGUAGAGGCUGUGGUAUAUUUAUAGCUCUGUAGUUAAGGUUUCCAUCUCACAUCCUAUUUUCAGGCUGCCAUUGAACUUUGUCAUUAAAAAACUGUUAAUUUUAACUUGACAUUUCUCAGGCCUAGUUUCACCCUUCGAAGAUGCUGUUACUUUAAAAGAAUUAAAAAUAACCCAUUUGAAGUAUUUUUAGUUACCCUUCUAUAAGAGUUGUUUCGUUUUGGUGCUUUGGAUUUUGUUUCUCAGCUGAGAACCUGGAAACACCCUUUAUUUACAUUUUUCAUAUGUGUAAGAGUCACUUCCCCUUGCACCAUGCUGCACAUGUUCCUCAUCUGAACUGCCUAGUCCGACAUGAGAUUUUAAGGCACAAAGCGAGGAGAAUGUCUCUUCUGGCUGAGCUAAAAGUCACGGCCCCUACACUGCUGUACAGUUACAACUUGUCAGAAUUAAACAAGGUAUUGCGAAGCUGAGGCAUUUUUGCCAAUCGUGUAUUGCAAUGUGAAAAUUUCAGCAGAUUGCCACGUACAUGAGUAGUAGCAGAGGUUAUUUCUAGCUAAGCCAUUUAAAUGCAUGUGAUCAUUUGCAAUCAGGUUCUUCAUGGUGUAGACAGGCAAAACGGAAAUAGCAGAAAGAACUAUGUAUCUAAACAGGAGAAAAUUGAUAGCAGUAAAUGACGAUAGCAUUGGACUAGCAGGGAGCUCUAGAAAUUAAAAAGCCAUAUAUUCUGGUCAGUCCUGGAUUAAUUCUGUUCCUGACCGUGCGAGCCCAGGUGAGAAGACACAAACCUUCAGGAAAUGCUAUUGUUGGUAGAGACCGUUUUGGCUGUUCUGCUCCUUCUUUGUGUCCCUUCCUAGAGCGUGCUGCUGCAUGACGCGAUGGCCUGGGACACCUCCCGCCCGUAUGAAACGUGGCCAAGAAGCAGAGGUCAGGCCUGAAAUAACAGAGGACUGCGUGCUCUGGGACUGACAGCUCUUAAUGUGAAGAAAGUAUUCAGCACUGGAGUUUCUGCUGCAUUAAUUGCCAUUAGUGCCGUACUUGGGGGAACACUAAAUUCAUUGCAAACCCUGAAUUUUCACUGUCUCUUAAUUCUUCCAUUUGUGCUUAGAGAUGACCAUUUGUGGAGGCAGCACGUUCCAAGCAACUGGAGCAGAGACAAGGACUGAUACUCAGCUGGCCCUUGGAUGUUUAAUUUAGCGAGAAAAAGCAGCAGAGGUCACACUCGUAACUGCAUAUUUAUGGUUCUCUUCUGGAAAUUCAUAAGCCAGUGGCCAAAAGGGCCCAAGGUUUUGCCUUGGCAGCACAUUUAACGUGGAGGCAUGUGUGUUAGGGCUGUCAGCUGAGACCUGCUCAGCCUCAGGCACUGUGCAUCCGGCUUCCCUCGCACACCCUCGCUUCAUUCUCCCACUUUGCCCCUGCCACCUACUCCUGAGACCCCAAGAGAAAUCUUCGCCUAAAAAUACUCUGGACCAAAGCAAAGGGUCUGCGAUGUACAAGCAGUUCGAUUUUCAGACAGUUCCUUGCCGGAGUUCUACAGCUCAUAUAACAAGAAAUGGACCCAAUCAAGCAGCUCUAGAAAAGAUUAAGAACCUGCUGACACCAUUUUUGUGCUCGAAUGGCAUUCUGGUAAGCAGAAAGGAAGACACGCUUCCGCCACGCUUUGGGAACAGGAAUCGAACGCAACAGCCUCGAUGACUUGGGGUUUCUCGUGAUGACCGUCAAAAUGAAGUCAUCAGUUUCCUGUCUCCAUUUUGGACCCGGCGUGCACCUCCUCGGCUGUGCCUGCUGCCUCCAGAGACGUGUUAGCAAGAUAAUGCUGGCAGCUCCACCGUAAUCGCUGGCCAAGAAAUAAUUUCUGAGACACAGCUCAGAAUCUUCUUACCCUUACUAGACCCUGCCACAGGCUCCUAUUUCCUACUCGUGGCCAAAAGCUACUUGAUGUUGGUGUAUUUAAUAGUUGAGUCGCUACCAGACAAACACAGUGUCGGCGGGCAAGCGUUAUCACGCUGCCUGUCAUCGUCUGAUUUGGAUUCGAAGAGUCAGCCCAGGGGAAUGAAGAAGGCAGUUUGAUUUCUGUGGCCAAUUCAUUCGCCGCUGAAACAGCCGACGGAGCUGGCUGGUUGUGCUCAGCAUGGUGAUGCUUACCGUGGAGCUGUGCAGUUCUCCGGGGAGCCAGGCUCUGGCUGUAAAACCCUGCUCAUUAAGAUCAUUAGAGAGCUGUCAGGUGGAGCAACUGGGAUGUCUUUGAUCUGGCAGAAUACCCUUCCUCCUGCUCCUAGGCUUUAGGAGCCAUCCCGUUCCCCAUAACAAUUUUUCCCAAGCCAUUCAAACAAUACUCAUUGUUUUUUUAUAGGGUGCAAUAACUUCUUCAGGCAAACUGGAGGUUGAGACAGCUAUAACAAGAUUAAUUUAUUAAAUAGAAACCCUGAUUUUUCAAUAAUUCCUUUAUAAAUAUGUUAGUGGUUUGUUUUGCCAAGAAAAUGACAAAAUGUGGCUAAUAAUCCCGAAGAUAUUCCUUAUAAAUCCACUAGGUGUCCUACUGUUUUCAAGUAAUUAGGCUCAAGGGUUUUUUUUUUUGUUUGUUUCCUAGCUUUGGCAGAGAGGAAUUAGUCUGAUUCUUUAGUGGAACUAGAUCUGGGCUUUCAGGUUGAAGAAACAUGUGUGUAUGUUUUUUGCAACACAGCAGGACACCUGACCCAGAGUGGCAGCUCUUUUGGCAAAUGCCACUAGUGUUUCCCACAGAGACCGUCUGAAGGUUAGAGGCUGGAAAAGAAAAAGGAAAAGAAUCUGCCUUCCUCCCUUGGGAGUGCUAAACGAGAUCCAGCAGAGCCAAAUCCUCUCCUUAGUCAGCCUCGGGCACCUAUUUAUAGGACCGCUAAAGUGCCUCCAAUGCUGACCUUAAAGGUAGUGGCAAGGUGCAUCCUUAAUCAGAGCCGCUCGCUGCCUGCCAGCCCUCGUGCUGCUCUGCGCCGCCAGCACAGCGCCCACUCGCUCGGUGCCCUGCCCCGCGCGCACAGCGGGGAGGUCAAAUGCAUGCAGAGAAGCAGCCUGCAGAAUAGCCAAAGGGUGAUUUUCUCAUCCCAGAAAAUACUGAGCGGAGCCAGAACUACUCAGUAGCAGCCAGCUGCUUGGCUGCUCCUUCGUCGUGCAACCUGGAGUGCGCGCACCACACCAAGUCGAGCUGUUCGGGAAACUGCACGUCCCUCAGCAACCUUGCGAUCUCUUUGCUCGCACUGAAUCCUGGCCUGAUAAUCUGGAUGUCUCUGAAACAGUCAUCGCUAUAGAUGUAUAAAAAGCAUUUUUCGUUUUUCCUGUGCUUUCAUUGGUCAGAGGCGGGUGUUUGCAAUGUAUCAGUGAGAGGUGACUGCAAAGUGAUUUUCUAGGUCUUGUCAUGGAACCACAAAUCACGUUCUGUAUAAGCCCUGUAGACUUAUCCCUCUGCCAAGCAGCGACUGUUGUGUUUGAGAAUUCCCCUGUCAUUUGCUCUGGUUUCACAGGGGUGCCACAUCUUGAAUUUACCCCAGAUCUACAGGAGGCAAAUGAGGAGAAAAUCAGGUUCAUCUUCCAUUUAAAAAAAUGCAGGAGACAAAGGUGCUCUCAAGCAAUGAGUUUAUCUCCUUUUCACUAGGUGCUUCAUGGCCAGAAAUACUGCCCGCUGCUCUUGGCUGUGCAAACAGGCACCAGGCAAGGUGUCAGCACCAGCUUAAUCACCAGCUGCAAGGGGAAGUCAGAGGGGGAACAACGGCCUUGUGUCCUUGGCCCACCAGGAUUCCUUGCCAUCAGGCGUUUUGCAUCAUGGGAAGCGCCUAGCAUCUGUCCUGUGCCAUGUGUUACAUUCCUGGCUCUAUUUCUUGCUCUUUGUGUUGAAGGUAUGACAGUCAUUUUCCUGACAACCCUCAAGAAGAAAAGAUGCUCCAGUCUUUUGACUGUAUGGUAUAUAUAGAUACCUGCUGUAGUACCAUCCAUAUGCAGCGUGCACCAUAUGCUCACUGUGAAAUAGAGUGUAACCUGGUCCAGCACGUUUGCUGCUAUACAUAACAAAUACCUCAAGCCUUGCCAUGAUUCAGUGCAUUAUGCAUGGGAGCCAUCUGGUCCUGUAGCUUAAGCAGCAAACUGAAAAUUUGGUAAAAGCACAAACAGUCACAAUGAGAGAGACUGAAAAGAUGUGUUGAUACUCCAAGCAAGAGUCUCCUUCUGCGGGGGCUCAUCUCAUAACCCAUUGCCUCUUCCAUGCUUCUUCCUCUGGAAAGCUGCAGUCAGACAGGUUGCACGCUCAGCUCUGUGAGUACGUACACCUUUGGGAUGCUAAGAGCGUGUUUCAUGUGCUUGAGCAAACCUUCUGGGACAGGAUUUUUCUCGCUAGCCAGCUGUGCAGUAAGCAAGACGCACAAGGUGUCUGGGGAACAGCGUGGUUCAUGGAGCCUGGCUUGAUCAAGGAUUCUGGCUGAAAGACGGUCCUUCUCAGCUUGCCUAGAUUUCUCAGCCCGGGAAUGGAGAUGAAUCCUGGAGGUCUGGGUCGUCAUGGCUGAAACGAGGAACUCGGAGCGACGGAGGGGCUGCUAGUGUCAAAGGCCAAGCAAGAAGUACGAGGAAUGCAGAGCCUGAAGUUUUUCAGCAGUCGCUGAAGGCAAAACCAUCUAAAGCUGUAGCAGAUGUUUGCUUACUUCCUGCCUGCUUAUCAGCCCUGCAAAGACACUUCUUUUUUGUACUUGUUAUGCCAAAUGUAACUAUGGAGAUCUAAUACAAGCUGCGCAAUAGCGAUACACCAAGAUAAGCAUAGUCAACACAAUGCAUGAAACAAGAAAAGAGUGAAGUUGUUGAAGAUGAAGAUAUGAGGGACUUUAUGAGGAGGACAGAUCUGCAGGAAAAAAGAUGGAUUUGAUGUAUGCAUUGCUGGAAAUUGCCUGAAGCAUCUGCGAACACACAACAAAAGCUCCAGGUUGUGGACCAGUUGCUAAGAAAUUGUUUAUAUCCCCUAAAUGUUCGUUUUGGAUUUGGCAGAGCUAUUACGGCAAAGGAAUACAAAUGUAAAGAGUCAAGGGAGUUCGGACCGCAAGAGGGGUCUGCGGAGGCCGGGGGCUCUUUUGGGUAAGCUGCACUGAAUCCUCCGAGAGCUGAGAAAAGGGCAGAAGCUUUGAUUUGACCUGUAUUCCUGGUGACUCACUCGUGAGGUUUCAGGUUGUUACUCUGUUUUGCCUCUGCUUCUGAGCAGUUGCUCACAUUUUAACCAAGCACAUGCUUACCUCACCACAGUAUAAUUAGGGACGAAUAUAAUAUAUGGAUAGACCAAUAUAAUAAGGAUAAUAAGGGAACAUUCCAAAGCAGUUACAGAAGAAAAGAAUCUCAGAUAAUUAGGAGAGGAGUUGGACACUGAUUUUAAAAAUACCCAAGAUAAAGUAACAGAUACUAAAAAUAUCUAUUUUGAGAUUAAAUCCUCAUGACUCAGUACUUGAGCCAACCCCCAUUCCUUAGGAAUUAGUAGGAAGAUUGUCUGAAUAGGGUAGACUGUGGCUUAUCUCCUUACUCUGGUGGUCUUACUCUUACACUUUAAAGAAGUAUUUGAUGCUGAAAGAAGAUAAGAUAGGCACAGGUCUGACUUAAUAGUGCAAUUACAAGGUUUUUGAAUAUGUUCUGAACCAGCUGUAGUCUUUGUAAAAUUGGUGGGUUUAUUUCUAGCUAGGAAAAAAUCUCUAAUAAUGAAAGAUGAGGGCCUUGAAUGAUAAAAUCACUGACAGCAAGGCCUGAGAUCUAGAGAAGAGAUGGCUCCUGGCUUUUAGUCAGCCAGGACUUAUUUUUUAAAUACCUGUACUUCUCCAGCUAAUACCAGAGGAAUGAUGAAUCUAGCCUGCAAAUGAAACACUGAAGUGCCAUUUCUUCUUCCUCUUCUUUUAUUUGUACUGUAUUUUCUGACUAGGUGAAAGAUAUCAAAAAUAUUUUGAAAUCCUUUCCUAAGGUUUCAGAAAAGCAGAAAAGCUGUGUUGUUAGAACAUCAGCUACAAUCUGAAUCAGAUUUUCAGUACAGAUGUGUCAGAUGCAAUUUCUUGGAAACCCUCCAUGACAAUUAGAAGAGUGACCAAAUGUUUUCUCACCAUACAAA